rnacentral:rRNA from 1 species
GGUUAAGCGACUAAGCGUACACGGUGGAUGCCCUGGCAGUCAGAGGCGAUGAAGGACGUGCUAAUCUGCGAUAAGCGUCGGUAAGGUGAUAUGAACCGUUAUAACCGGCGAUUUCCGAAUGGGGAAACCCAGUGUGUUUCGACACACUAUCAUUAACUGAAUCCAUAGGUUAAUGAGGCGAACCGGGGGAACUGAAACAUCUAAGUACCCCGAGGAAAAGAAAUCAACCGAGAUUCCCCCAGUAGCGGCGAGCGAACGGGGAGGAGCCCAGAGCCUGAAUCAGUGUGUGUGUUAGUGGAAGCGUCUGGAAAGGCGCGCGAUACAGGGUGACAGCCCCGUACACAAAAAUGCACAUAUUGUGAGCUCGAUGAGUAGGGCGGGACACGUGGUAUCCUGUCUGAAUAUGGGGGGACCAUCCUCCAAGGCUAAAUACUCCUGACUGACCGAUAGUGAACCAGUACCGUGAGGGAAAGGCGAAAAGAACCCCGGCGAGGGGAGUGAAAAAGAACCUGAAACCGUGUACGUACAAGCAGUGGGAGCACGCUUCGGCGUGUGACUGCGUACCUUUUGUAUAAUGGGUCAGCGACUUAUAUUCUGUAGCAAGGUUAACCGAAUAGGGGAGCCGAAGGGAAACCGAGUCUUAACUGGGCGUUAAGUUGCAGGGUAUAGACCCGAAACCCGGUGAUCUAGCCAUGGGCAGGUUGAAGGUUGGGUAACACUAACUGGAGGACCGAACCGACUAAUGUUGAAAAAUUAGCGGAUGACUUGUGGCUGGGGGUGAAAGGCCAAUCAAACCGGGAGAUAGCUGGUUCUCCCCGAAAGCUAUUUAGGUAGCGCCUCGUGAACUCAUCUCCGGGGGUAGAGCACUGUUUCGGCAAGGGGGUCAUCCCGACUUACCAACCCGAUGCAAACUGCGAAUACCGGAGAAUGUUAUCACGGGAGACACACGGCGGGUGCUAACGUCCGUCGUGAAGAGGGAAACAACCCAGACCGCCAGCUAAGGUCCCAAAGUCAUGGUUAAGUGGGAAACGAUGUGGGAAGGCCCAGACAGCCAGGAUGUUGGCUUAGAAGCAGCCAUCAUUUAAAGAAAGCGUAAUAGCUCACUGGUCGAGUCGGCCUGCGCGGAAGAUGUAACGGGGCUAAACCAUGCACCGAAGCUGCGGCAGCGACACUGUGUGUUGUUGGGUAGGGGAGCGUUCUGUAAGCCUGUGAAGGUGUACUGUGAGGUAUGCUGGAGGUAUCAGAAGUGCGAAUGCUGACAUAAGUAACGAUAAAGCGGGUGAAAAGCCCGCUCGCCGGAAGACCAAGGGUUCCUGUCCAACGUUAAUCGGGGCAGGGUGAGUCGACCCCUAAGGCGAGGCCGAAAGGCGUAGUCGAUGGGAAACAGGUUAAUAUUCCUGUACUUGGUGUUACUGCGAAGGGGGGACGGAGAAGGCUAUGUUGGCCGGGCGACGGUUGUCCCGGUUUAAGCGUGUAGGCUGGUUUUCCAGGCAAAUCCGGAAAAUCAAGGCUGAGGCGUGAUGACGAGGCACUACGGUGCUGAAGCAACAAAUGCCCUGCUUCCAGGAAAAGCCUCUAAGCAUCAGGUAACAUCAAAUCGUACCCCAAACCGACACAGGUGGUCAGGUAGAGAAUACCAAGGCGCUUGAGAGAACUCGGGUGAAGGAACUAGGCAAAAUGGUGCCGUAACUUCGGGAGAAGGCACGCUGAUAUGUAGGUGAAGCGACUUGCUCGUGGAGCUGAAAUCAGUCGAAGAUACCAGCUGGCUGCAACUGUUUAUUAAAAACACAGCACUGUGCAAACACGAAAGUGGACGUAUACGGUGUGACGCCUGCCCGGUGCCGGAAGGUUAAUUGAUGGGGUUAGCGCAAGCGAAGCUCUUGAUCGAAGCCCCGGUAAACGGCGGCCGUAACUAUAACGGUCCUAAGGUAGCGAAAUUCCUUGUCGGGUAAGUUCCGACCUGCACGAAUGGCGUAAUGAUGGCCAGGCUGUCUCCACCCGAGACUCAGUGAAAUUGAACUCGCUGUGAAGAUGCAGUGUACCCGCGGCAAGACGGAAAGACCCCGUGAACCUUUACUAUAGCUUGACACUGAACAUUGAGCCUUGAUGUGUAGGAUAGGUGGGAGGCUUUGAAGUGUGGACGCCAGUCUGCAUGGAGCCGACCUUGAAAUACCACCCUUUAAUGUUUGAUGUUCUAACGUUGACCCGUAAUCCGGGUUGCGGACAGUGUCUGGUGGGUAGUUUGACUGGGGCGGUCUCCUCCUAAAGAGUAACGGAGGAGCACGAAGGUUGGCUAAUCCUGGUCGGACAUCAGGAGGUUAGUGCAAUGGCAUAAGCCAGCUUGACUGCGAGCGUGACGGCGCGAGCAGGUGCGAAAGCAGGUCAUAGUGAUCCGGUGGUUCUGAAUGGAAGGGCCAUCGCUCAACGGAUAAAAGGUACUCCGGGGAUAACAGGCUGAUACCGCCCAAGAGUUCAUAUCGACGGCGGUGUUUGGCACCUCGAUGUCGGCUCAUCACAUCCUGGGGCUGAAGUAGGUCCCAAGGGUAUGGCUGUUCGCCAUUUAAAGUGGUACGCGAGCUGGGUUUAGAACGUCGUGAGACAGUUCGGUCCCUAUCUGCCGUGGGCGCUGGAGAACUGAGGGGGGCUGCUCCUAGUACGAGAGGACCGGAGUGGACGCAUCACUGGUGUUCGGGUUGUCAUGCCAAUGGCACUGCCCGGUAGCUAAAUGCGGAAGAGAUAAGUGCUGAAAGCAUCUAAGCACGAAACUUGCCCCGAGAUGAGUUCUCCCUGACCCUUUAAGGGUCCUGAAGGAACGUUGAAGACGACGACGUUGAUAGGCCGGGUGUGUAAGCGCAGCGAUGCGUUGAGCUAACCGGUACUAAUGAACCGUGAGGCUUAACCUU